rnacentral:snRNA from 1 species
AUACUUACCUGGCACAGAAGACAAGGUAACCACGAAGGCGAGGCUCGCCACUACACUCCGGUGGCUCUGACCAUUGUGAUUAACCCAAAGGUGGUUAACUCGGGUGUGAUUUUUUACUUUUUUUUUAGCGGGGGAACUGCGUUCGCGCUGUACCCUU